rnacentral:rRNA from 1 species
GACAGAGGGGGCAAGCGUUGCUCGGAAUCACUGGGCGUAAAGGGCGCGUAGGCGGGAUGGCAAGUCGGUCGUGAAAUCCCUCGGCUUAACCGGGGAACUGCGUCUGAUACUGGAUGGCUGGAGUUUGGGAGAGGGAUGCGGAAUUCCAGGUGUAGCGGUGAAAUGCGUAGAUAUCUGGAGGAACACCGGUGGCGAAGGCGGCAUCCUGGACCGGUAUUGACGCUGAGGCGCGAAAGCCAGGGGAGCAAACGGG